AAGUCGUAACAAGGUCUCCGUUGGUGAACCAGCGGAGGGAUCAUUACCGAGUUUACAACUCCCAAACCCAAUGUGAACGUUACCAAACUGUUGCCUCGGCGGGAUCUCUGCCCCGGGUGCGUCGCAGCCCCGGACCAAGGCGCCCGCCGGAGGACCAACCAAAACUCUUAUUGUAUACCCCCUCGCGGGUUUUUUACUAUCUGAGCCAUCUCGGCGCCCCUCGUGGGCGUUUCGAAAAUGAAUCAAAACUUUCAACAACGGAUCUCUUGGUUCUG
rnacentral:misc_RNA from 1 species